rnacentral:rRNA from 1 species
GAUGAACGCUGGCGGCGUGCCUAAUACAUGCAAGUCGAGCGAACGGACGAGAAGCUUGCUUCUCUGAUGUUAGCGGCGGACGGGUGAGUAACACGUGGAUAACCUACCUAUAAGACUGGGAUAACUUCGGGAAACCGGAGCUAAUACCGGAUAAUAUUUUGAACCGCAUGGUUCAAAAGUGAAAGACGGUCUUGCUGUCACUUAUAGAUGGAUCCGCGCUGCAUUAGCUAGUUGGUAAGGUAACGGCUUACCAAGGCAACGAUGCAUAGCCGACCUGAGAGGGUGAUCGGCCACACUGGAACUGAGACACGGUCCAGACUCCUACGGGAGGCAGCAGUAGGGAAUCUUCCGCAAUGGGCGAAAGCCUGACGGAGCAACGCCGCGUGAGCGAUGAAGGUCUUCGGAUCGUAAAACUCUGUUAUGAGGGAAGAACAUAUGUGUAAGUAACUGUGCACAUCUUGACGGUACCUAAGCAGAAAGCCACGGCUAACUACGU